UGGGGAAUUUUGGACAAUGGGGGAAACCCUGAUCCAGCCAUCCCGCGUGUGCGAUGAAGGCCUUCGGGUUGUAAAGCACUUUUGGCAGGAAAGAAACGUCAUGGGUUAAUACCCCGUGAAACUGACGGUACCUGCAGAAUAAGCACCGGCUAACUACGUGCCAGCAGCCGCGGUAAUACGUAGGGUGCAAGCGUUAAUCGGAAUUACUGGGCGUAAAGCGUGCGCAGGCGGUUCGGAAAGAAAGAUGUGAAAUCCCAGAGCUCAACUUUGGAACUGCAUUUUUAACUACCGGGCUAGAGUGUGUCAGAGGGAGGUGGAAUUCCGCGUGUAGCAGUGAAAUGCGUAGAUAUGCGGAGGAACACCGAUGAAGAAGGCAGCCUCCUGGGAUAACACUGACGCUCAUGCACGAAAGCGUGGGGAGCAAACAGG
rnacentral:rRNA from 1 species